rnacentral:rRNA from 1 species
GGAGGAAAAGAAACCAACAGGGAUUCCCUUAGUAGCGGCGAGCGAAACGGGAAGAGUCCAGCACCGAAUCCCGCGCUCUUUGGGCGUUUGGGAGAUGUGGCGUUUAGGAAGGAGCGUUCGGAGGUUGAGUCGGCAGCAAGUCCCCCUGACCGGGGCUCUUUACCCAGAGUGGGUGCCAGGCCCAUAGUUGCUGAUUCUCCUUCGGAUGCGAUCUCCUUGGAGUCGGGUUGCUUGGGAGUGCAACCCUAAUCGGGUGGUAAACUCCACCUAAGACUAAAUAUGACCGUGAGACCGAUAGCAAACAAGUACCGUGAGGGAAAGUUGCAAAGAACUUUGAAGAGAGAGUUCAAAAGUACGUGAAACUGUUCAGAGGUAAACAGGUGGGCCCUCGAAAUCCUGUGGCGGAAAGAUUCAGUUGAUUUGUACCGGCGUGGCGUCACUCGCAGACCGAAAGGCUCGUGUGAUUAUACCGCUCAAUGCUCAUCUUCGCAUUUGUUUUCCGCCCGAAGGACGCCGCAAUCGGUUGGGAGACGGAUUGAAUGUCUGGAGCGGGAGCUCGCGACGGGUUUUCCCUUCGGGGUUCCGUCGGCUGUUGCUCGUUCUGACGAUAUCUCGUAGCCCGACCGUGGUGUCGCGAGGCCUUGAUGGGCUUCUCCGCCUCCUCCCUUUAGCCGGAAGCCGGGUGGGCGCGGCAAGACUUACUCUCUACGCGGGCGCACGUACUGAAUGCGUGGCCCAGCGCUGUGAGUGUUUUGUUGGCUGCGCCAAGAACCCGUGGGAGUGCUGGUGGUUAGCGGCGAGUAGAUCGGUCACCCACCUGACCCGUCUUGAAACACGGACCAAGGAGUCUAACAAGUAUGCGAGUCAAUGGGACUCGAUGAAGCCCAGAGGCGCAAUGAAAGCAAAGGACGGACUUGACUCCGUACCAAGCUGGGAUUCCUCCGCCUCGUGCGGGGGACGCACCAGCGACCCGUCCUAUCCGAUUUAUCGGUGGGGCGGAGUCUGAGCAUAUACGUUGGGACCCGAAAGAUGGUGAACUAUGCCCGGGCAGGACGAAGCCAGAGGAAACUCUGGUGGAGGUCCGUCGCGGUUCUGACGUGCAAAUCGAUCGCCAGACCUGGGUUUAGCGACGAAAGAUCAAUCGAACCAUCUAGUAGCUGGUUCCCUCCGAAGUUUCUCUCAGGAUAGCUGGCACUCAUGAGAAAUCAGUCUCAUCCGGUAAAGCGAAUGAUUAGAGGCCUUAGGGCCGAAACGACCUUAACCUAUUCUCAAACUUUAAAUGGGUGAGAAGUCCGUCUUGCAUGACUGAAGACUGGACGUUUCGGAUGAGAGUGCCCAGUGGGCCACUUUUGGUAAGCAGAACUGGCGCUGUGGGAUGAACCAAACGCUGGGUUAUGGUGCCCGAUGCAAGACGCUCAUGAGACCCCACAAAAGGUGUUUGUUGCUCUAGACAGCCAGGCAGUGGACACGGAAGUUGUAAUCUGCUAAGAAGUGUGUAACAACUUACUGGCCGAAGCAACUGGCCCUGAAAAUGGAUGGCGCUCUAGCGUCGAGCCUAUACCCGGCCGCUGCGGCAGAACUCCUAGUAUGGAGGCUUAUGUCACAGUGAGUAGGAGGGGCGCAACGGCGUGCGUUGAAGGUGCCGGGCGUGAGCCCGCCUGGAGCCGCCGUUGGUGCAGAUCUUGGUGGUAGUAGCAAAUACUCAAGUGAGAACCUUGAGGACUGAUGGUGGAGAAGGGUUCCAUGUGAACAGCAGUUGAACAUGGGUCAGUCGGCCCUAAGGGAUCGGAGAAAUCCGUUCUGAAGCGGGACAUUGGAAUUUGGCAAAAGACACAAAGCAGCUCUGUGUUUGUCCCGCUGCCGACCGAAAGGGAAUGGGGUCAAUAUUCCCCAACCCGGACACGGAGAUAGAGCCCUCGGGCUCAAGUGCGGUAACGCAACCGAACUCGGAGACGUUGACGGAGGACCCGGGGAAGAGUUUUCUUUUCUUUGUAAGAGUUCGUGUCCCUGGAAUCGGCUCGUCCGGAGAUAGGGAUGCUGUUCUCGUAAAAGCACCGCGGCUCUUGCGGUGUCCGGUCCGCCUCUGUCGGCCCUUGCAAAUCCGAGGGAGAGAGUGUUAUUUUCGUGCCGGUCCGUACCCAUAUCCGCAGCCGGUCUCCAAGGUGAACAGCCUCUAGUCGAUA